GUUCGUCGCCCUUCCUGUUCGUGAACCAGGCCAGGACUUGUUGAUUCCAUCGCCGUCCGCACACCAGAACCGGACCAAACGCCGACCCCUCUUGCUUCCGUUGCUGACCUGUCCGCCCUCCUCUACACCAGAAAAUGCUGCUUAGAUUUGUCCUAUCAUUUCUUUCCUGGCAUCAAAUGUGGUUUGGGAUAAUUUCUUAUCAUUCACAUUAGAGGAAGUAGUCAAUUUUUUGGAGAGAACUCUCAAUAAGGUGCGUGGUUUUUCAAACUCUCCAACACCAUUUCAUGAAUAGUUUUGAAAUAAAGCUUUAUAUAUA